GGAUGUGAGGUGCCAUCGGUCACCCCAUUGAUGGCGAGGGUUGAUUCAGCUGAUCUGGCUGGCUAGGUGCUUGUCCCCUUGCUCCCUCACCACUUCAUGUGCGCCCUUCCUGAAGCUGUGCUUGGUCAAAGAGGAUGACCUUGCCGGAAUGGAGGAUGACCAGUGUUCGGUCAAGGGCAUAAGUAGCCAUGCUCCCCUGCUAGAACCUCCCAACAAGCGCUCAAAGGCAAGCAGAAGAGGCGUGGGGUCAAGGAAACUGUGACGUCAUAGACUCCUGACAUCAAGAACACGUU
rnacentral:snRNA from 1 species